AUUGAACGCUGGCGGCAUGCUUUACACAUGCAAGUCGAACGGUAACAGGCCUUCGGGUGCUGACGAGUGGCGAACGGGUGAGUAAUGCAUCGGAACGUACCGUGUAAUGGGGGAUAACGUAGCGAAAGUUACGCUAAUACCGCAUACGCCCUGCGGGCGACAGCGGGGGAUCGUAAGACCUCGCGUUAUACGCGCGGCCGCUGUCGGAUUAGCUAGUUGGUGGGGUAAAGGCCUACCAAGGCGACGAUCCGUAGCGGGUCUGAGAGGAUGAUCCGCCACACUGGGACUGAGACACGGCCCAGACUCCUACGGGAGGCAGCAGUGGGGAAUUUUGGACAAUGGGGGCAACCCUGAUCCAGCCAUGCCGCGUGCGAGAAGAAGGCCUUCGGGUUGUAAACCGCUUUCGGACGGAAAGAAAUCGUCCUCUCUAACAUAGGGGAUGGAUGACGGUACCGUAAGAAGAAGCACCGGCUAACUACGUGCCAGCAGCCGCUGUAACAC
rnacentral:rRNA from 1 species